rnacentral:tRNA from 1 species
GGGUGCUUAGCUCAGUUGGUAGAGUAUCGCCUUUACACGGCGAGGGUCGUGGGUUCGAAUCCCUCAGCACCCACCA